CAUUCACAAUGAGUGUUUUAUGGCACUCUUUAAAAUCCAUAUCCACCUUGUGUGCAAUGUUUGUUGGGAGAGAGGCAACUCUUUCCCUUCACAAAUAUCAACCUAUAUCUUUAACAACAUUCGUCUGAUAACAUAUUAUGAAUAUACUUAAUUCAAAAUAUAACUUUCAACAACGGAUCUCUUGGCUCUCGCAUCGAUGAAGAACGCAGCGAAAUGCGAUACGUAAUGUGAAUUGCAGAAUUCAGUGAAUCAUCGAAUCUUUGAACGCAUAUUGCGCUCUUUGGUAUUCCGAAGAGCAUGCUUGUUUGAGUAUCAGUAAACACCUCAACCUCCUCUUGUUUUUUCAAAAGGAGGGUGGACUUGAGCUAUCCCAACAACCUUCACCGGUAGGCGGGCGGCUUGAAAUGCAGGUGCAGCUGGACUUUUAUCUGAGCUAAAAGCAUAUCUAUUUAGUCCUCGUCAAACAGGAUUAUUACUAUUGCUGCAGCUAACAUAAAGGAUAAUUGUCCUCAUUGCUGACUGAUGCAGGAUUUUACGACACUUUAUGUGUUGUUCAACUCGAUCUCAAAUCAAGUAAGACUACCCGCUGAACUUAAGCAUAUCAAUA
rnacentral:rRNA from 1 species